AAGAGGGUAGCAUCUGAUCUGCUUCCCUUCAGAAGCAAUGGCGUCUGCUACCCUCCUCAAAUCGUCUUUCCUUCCCAAGAAGGCCGAAUGGGGCGCCACGCGCCAGGCCGCCGCUCCCAAGCCGAUGACCGUCUCCAUGGUUGUCCGUGCCAGCGCGUACGCCGAUGAGCUUGUGAAAACCGCGGUAUGCUUUCUUAACACCGACAGUAUAAUUCUACAAUUUUGCCAUGCAUAUGCGUGUAUUUGUUUGAUCUUUGAUGGGCAGUAACUUCUGGCUAGAAUCCUCUUUACAUCAGUGGGAAGGGGAGAUCUCGACGUAUUGUCAAUACAGAAACUACCACUGAUAAGGAGAUAAAUCAAAUGUAUUCUUAUUAGGAUGAACAGUUACCCUAGUACCAUUUAUCAUAAUCCAGUGGACGUAAGACAAAUGUUUUGUCAGGCAGAGUAAUAUUAUUUGGCUGUUUUUUAUCAUACUGAAACCACUAGCCCGGAUCAACAUUCAUAACAUAUUUUUUUCUAUAUUGCAUUGGUACAGUAAAUUUUCUAUCUUCAUCGCUGCAAGCUAAAUAGAUAUGAUUGACGUUGUGUUGUACCAAAAAGGAGCUUGUGAAACAACAAACAUAAGCGUGUAUGUUUCUGGAUUAAACAUCUGCAGUAAGCCAUGAGGCACGUUAAUCACCACUAGCUGUAAUGAUAAGGGCAGGAUGCAUCAUGGUACACAGAAAUUAAACAACCCGCAUUCCAGUGAUAUCAUUGUUUGAAUCCAUGUGUCCUGCUUAAGCUCAGCAAUCCAUCCGAAGGUUCAUAAGUCAUAACAAAACUACAUAGUUGCUUUUAACGUCCAAUCAUCAAGUUUACAAGAGUAAAAUCUCUACUAAAUGAGUAAGACUUCCAUGGUUCAACAGAUAUCAAGCUUUAUUCUUCCUGAUGCAGAAAACCAUCGCAUCGCCUGGCAGGGGUAUCCUUGCCAUGGAUGAGUCGAAUGCUACCUGUGGCAAGAGACUUGCCUCGAUUGGCCUUGAGAACACCGAGGCUAACCGCCAGGCUUACCGGACCCUCCUUGUCACUCCACCAGGCUUGGGAAACUACAUCUCUGGUGCUAUCCUCUUUGAGGAGACCCUCUACCAGUCGACUGUUGAUGGCAAGAAGAUUGUUGACAUCCUUGUCGAGCAGGGGAUCGUUCCCGGUAUCAAGGUUGACAAGGUAGGUUGAUUUCACUCCAAACUAACACAUGGUUUUUGUUGUGCAUUCCGUUAUCAAAGUUGUUAUAUUAUAUCAAUUGUGAAACUAAGAUACAAACUGCUUCUACUAUUAAUGCAUCAGAAUAAUCAUAUGUUUUCUUGUUGAACUACAUGUACAUGGCAUGAUUCUCCAUGUCACUAGCUUUACAUUUCAAGCAAAACCAGAUGAUCCCAGGUUUAUUUGAAGCCCAGAAAUCAAACAUUCUUCUAAACUGGUGCUCAUUCUCAGGGUCUUGUGCCACUUGUUGGUUCCAACGAUGAGUCAUGGUGCCAAGGCCUCGAUGGCCUUGCCUCCCGUGAAGCAGCAUACUACCAGCAAGGCGCCCGCUUCGCCAAGUGGUUAGAAAUUUGCACCUAUGAGGAUUGAGGACAGUCUACCUUCUAUCAGCUCAUAGCUUCAUGCUCCUCUGGCUGACAUGAAGUUCACUUGCAGGCGCACUGUUGUCAGCAUUCCUAACGGACCAUCUGAGCUUGCUGUCAAGGAAGCUGCCUGGGGUCUUGCCCGUUACGCGGCCAUCUCACAGGUAUUGUUGCCAUUUCCUAACAGACCAAACUUCUAGAGCACAAUGGUGAGGCACAACAUUCUAGUGGAUAUGUAAACCUCUUGUUUGUCGAUGUUCUAGGACAAUGGGCUGGUGCCGAUUGUGGAGCCUGAGAUCAUGCUCGAUGGUGAGCACGGCAUCGAGAGGACCUUCGAGGUGGCGCAGAAGGUGUGGGCGGAGACCUUUUACUACAUGGCCCAGAACAACGUCAUGUUUGAGGGCAUCCUCCUGAAGCCAAGCAUGGUGACCCCUGGUGCCGAGUGCAAGGACAGGGCCACCCCUGAGGAAGUAGCCAGCUACACCCUCAAGCUCCUCCAGAGAAGGAUCCCCCCUUCCGUCCCCGGCAUCAUGGUGAGCAGAGCACCCUCCCAAACCUAAGUGCACAAUCAUGAAUACGUAUAAGAUUAUGUUGACACGACACUAUACUCAACAACCAAUUUGCAUCGUGACAUAGUAACUAGUAACUCAAAAGUGCAACAAUAGCAUGCCUUGAGAAAUCAACAAAUCAUUAGUUCUGCACAAGCUCACAUCCAAAUUUGUUGUCUCUUUUCUGUGGUGGUGCAGUUCUUGUCUGGUGGACAGUCGGAGGUGGAGGCGACGCUGAACCUGAACGCGAUGAACCAGGCGCCGAACCCGUGGCACGUGUCCUUCUCCUACGCGAGGGCGCUGCAGAACACCUGCCUCAAGACGUGGGGCGGGCGGCCGGAGAACGUCGCGGCAGCGCAGGAGGCGCUGCUGCUGCGCGCCAAGGCCAACUCCCUGGCGCAGCUCGGCAAGUACACCAGCGACGGCGAGGCCGCAGCUGCCAAAGAGAACAUGUUCGUCAAGAACUACAGCUACUGAUCCGUCGGCGAGCUGUCCUAUCUACAUAAUCUACCUACGGAGGGAGAGUGCUAGUAGCGCCUUGAGCAGCUUGAGGGCACCUUAGCCAGCCAGUGUGUCGUCGUUGUUACAGGUCGAGACCAGCUCUGAUGGAAGAGAUGGACGGAGAGCAUAUACUGUGUUUUACCACCCUAAGUAAAAAAACUUUGGAAUGGUUUUACUGCUGUAUUCGCAUGUUUUUUUUCUUCUCUAGAGCGUUGUUGUUGCCUUUGUUUGCCACCCUAAGUAAGUAAGUAUAUGAACAAUCUCAAGCGCCCGUUUGGAACACGGUAAUUUUUCUUGGAGCAUAUUGAUCCAUCUGUUUGCUGGAACCACUGCAGAUCUCGCGUGAAAUUCCUGCGUUCCAAUUUCUCGAGUGCAGGACCAAAAAUUGACAAAUGGUGAAUUUCGUAUGAACCCCGUGGCCGUGGGGCACAAGCUCAUGCAUCUAACAGGGACCUGCUUGAGUAUAUAGCAAAAAACUAUCACAUUACGGGCUAAAGUUUGAAAAACUAUCUUUUUUAAUUAAAAAAACUACCACAAAAUUGGUUUGCUGUUUUGAAAAACUACCAUGUCACACUCAUAAAUAUGUUAAUUAAAUUUAAACGUUAUUAUGACAGCUCGGGUCCACUCGUCAGGUUGACCAUUGACAGGUUAUGAUAGGUGGACCCAAAUAUUUUUUGAAUUACAGUCAGGUCACUGGAAAAAAAAUAUAAAAAGCAAUCGGGUCCCUGGAAAAAAUAUAAAAAGCAAUCGGAAACUCGCGGGCGAGCUCGUUGCCGGAGACGGGUCGAGCGUCAUGGUGGCCGGCCCCGGUGGCCGCGAGAAGUGGCUACGACGGACGUGGUGGUGGUCGGCCCCGACGGCCGUGGGGAGUGGUUGCACCGGGCCUGGUGGUGGCCGGCCCCGGUGGCUACGUCGGGCAUCGUGGUGGUGGUUUUUGCGUGCUGCGUGCCGGCCGCCGCCGCCGCCGCUGCUCCUGCGUGCCGCCCGCCGUUGCCGCUGCAGCUGCCGGCCGCCGAUGCUGUUGGUCGGGAAAGGAGAGGAAGAACAAGGAGAGAAGAAAGAUAAGGGAGGGAGAGAGAGCACCCUAACAUGUGGGUUUAGGAGCGGGCCCGACUUGUCAUAAACCAGAUUAAUUCUAAGGCCCUGUUUGGAACCACCCAGAUUAUAUAAUUCAGUUUUUAUAAUCUAUUCUGUCUCCAAACAGGACAUCUUAUGGUAUAGAUUAUAAAAACUAGAUGGAUAGAUUAUUAAAAACUCAUAAUCUACUCUAUACCAGCUAAAAUCAGAUUAUGGAUUGCUAAUGACCCAUUACCCUUGUAAAGUUAUAGAUAAUUACAUUCCUACCACCGCCAUCCUUCUCUUUUUUACAAAAAAACACAGGGCAGACAGGUCAUUAUGCAAUGUAAAAUAUGGAUUACAGUUUAUAUAAUCUGGCCUCCAAACAUGUCCACCUAGAUUAUUUUUAUAAAGCAGAUUAUAUAAUCUAUCUUCAUAAUCCAGAUUAUCAUAAUCUAUUAUGGUUCCAAACAGGGCCUAAAUCACAUUGUCAUUUAGGUUUUUUGGUACAACGAAACAAUUUUGUGAUACAAUUUUGAAAAAAUAAAAAAGUGGUAGUUUCUUAUGGUUAACGCGUGCAAGGAAGGCAUAGGGUUGCACACACAUUUUUUUCCAAACUGUCGUCAUAAAUCCCUUGAGCUCUCUCUAACCGCACUCUCUCUCCCUCUUACUCUCUCCCAAGUGUACCUCCCUGCUACAAUUUUGAUGUAAUUUUUUAAAAUAUUUUAGAAAAGUUAUGUUAAAUUUUGUGCCAUUCUAAGACUUCUUAUUUUUGGGUCAUUUUUCUAUGCAUGGAAAACUAAGAAAAUAGGAUAAUCAUGGCAUUUUAUUUUUUCUGUAGGAAAGAGAACAAAAAAAUAAACUUGUGAAACACAGAGUUGUGAAUGCUCAAUUCAUCAAUCACAUGUCUUUAAAAAAGGAUCCAUUAAUAAGGCUGAUCAAGUCUUAUUAAUAACCAUUUCCGAUUGACAUGAAACCGAAGAAUCUUCAUAUAUCACUAGGUUACCUCAAUGGGGAUUUGCAUCUCCUCACAAUAAAAUUGUAAUAUUUCUGCUUGGCAGUAAAAAAGAGGGAUUUGAAAAUCGCCAACGAUGACCGUGACACAUGGCUCAAUGAUGUUAAUAUUAUUAACCAAAGUUUGUUUCUUCGAAAAAUGCACGGUAUGUUGCUUGCCAUGGACAUGCAAAGUAACUUUACUUUUGUUGCAAUCAAUAACAACCCGUCCAGUAUUUAGAAUGGGUCUACCAAGGAUGAUCGACAUAUUGUCAUCCAUGAGCAUAUCAGGAAUUACAAAGUCUGUUAAGAUAGUAACAUUCGCAACCACAAUAGGAACAUCCUCACAAAUUCCAAUAGGUAAAGCAAUGAAUUUAUCACUCAUUUACAAAGUUAUCUCACUGGGUGUAAGCUUAUUCAGAUCUAGUCUUUUAUAUAGAGAAAAGGGCAUCAGACUAACACCGGAUCCUAAAUCACAUAGAUCAUUUUUAACAUAGUUUCUUUUUCAUAGAGCAAGGUAUAGUGGGUAUGCAGGACCUCCAAACUUUUUAGGUACUCCACCAUGAAAAGAAUAAUUAGCAAGCAUAGAGGAAAUUUCAGUUUCAUAUAUUGUUCUUUUGUUGGUAAUAAUAUCCUUCAUACACUUGGCAUAUAGAGUGCGCAAAAAGACAGGUCUAAUCAUUUCAGCAAAGCGCUCAAAUUCUUCCUCGUCCGCACCUUUAGAAAGGCUUGCGAGGGAAGGGCAUGGAUUUCUGAACCCAUGACUCUCUUUUCCGUGCAUUCUAGCAACAAAGUCCCUUUACCAUAACAUUUAUUCUUAGGAGGUGGGUUAUCAAGAUCUUCAGCAGGUUCUAUUUCCACAUCAUUGUUAGGGUCCUUAUUACUAUCUCGUGGAUCUUCUACAUGAACAUCAUUAUUACCAUUUUCAUUAUCACUACUCCCUAUAUCCAUAUAUAUAGGGCCUAAUGCGUUUUUCAAGGCUAACUUUGAUCAUAUGUUAGAGCAAUAAUAUAUGACAUGCAAGUUACACAAAGCAUAUCUUCAAAUUCGUUAGUAAAAGGAGCUUUCAAUGAUAUAAUUUUGACAUUAUACAUCUCAUAUACUAUUAAUCUUAUCAAUAGUCAAAGUUAAUCUUGAAAAAUGCAUUAGGCCCUAUAUAUAUGGAUGAAGGGAGUAGGUUUAUGUUCACUACCAAAUUGUUGUUCGAAAUAUGCCCUAGAGGCAAUAAUAAAUUACUUAUUAUUAUAUUUCCUUGUUCAUGAUAAUCGUUUAUUAUCCAUGCUAUAAUUGUAUUGAUUGGAAACUCAAAUACAUGUGUGGAUACAUAGACAACAUAUUGUACCCAGUGAGCCUUUAAGGACUAGCUCGUUGAUCAAAGAUGGUCAAGGUUUCCUGACCAUAGACAUGAUUUGUCAUUUGAUAACGGGAUCACAUCAUUAGGAGAAUGAUGUGAUGGAGAAGACCAAAACUAUGAACGUAGCAUGUGAUCGUGUUAGUUUAUUGCUACUGUUUUCUUCAUUUCAAGUAUCUGUUUCUAUGACCAUGAGAUCAUGCAAAUCCCGGGCACCGGAGGAAUACAUUGUCUGUAUCAAACAUCGCAACGUAACUGGGUGACUAUAAAUGUGCUUUACAGGUAUCUCUAAAGGCGUCUGUUGGGUUUGUCACUUCGUGUGACGGAGAGGUAUCUCGGAGCCCACUCGGUAAUACAACAUCACAAGAAGCCUUGCAAGCAACGUGACUAAGGAGUUAGUCACAUGAUAUUGUAUUACGGAAUGAGUAAAGAGACUUGCCAGUAACGAUAUUGAACUAGGUAUGGAGAUACCGACGAUCGAAUCUCGAGCAAGUAACAUAUCGAAGGACAAAGGGAACAUCAUAAGGGAUUAACUGAAUCCUUGACAUGCAGGUUCAACCGAUAAAGAUCUUCGUAGAAUAUGUAGGAGCCAAUAUGGACAUCCAGGUCCCGAUAUUGGUUAUUGCCUAGAGAGUGUCUCAGGUCAUGUCUGCGUAGUUCUCGAACCCACAGGGCCUGCACACUUAAGGUUCGGUGACAUUUCGGUAUUAUUGAGUUAUGUAUGUUGGUGACCGAAAGUUGUUUGGAGUCCUAGAUGAGAUCCCGGAUGUCACGAGGAGCUCCAAAAUGGUCCGGAGGUAAAUAUUAAUACAUAGGAAAGUUGCAUUUGGCUUCCGGAAAGUUUUCGGGCAUUACCGGUAAAGUACCGGAGUGAAGAAUGGGUUCCGUGGUUUUACCGGGAGGGGCCACCCACCCGAGAGAGAACAUAAUAGGCCUAAAGGUGGUGCACCAGCCCUUAGUGGACUGGUGCAGCCAGCCCAAGAGGGCGUAUUUCGGCCAAGAGGUGAGGAAAGGGAAGAAAACCCCAAAGGAGAAGAAGGAUUCCAAGUUGGAGAGGAAUCCUACUUGGAGUAGGAUUGGAGGUGGACUCUUCCACCUCCUCCUAGGUUGGCCGAACACCUAAAGGGUUUUGGGAUGCCUCCUCCCCUCCCUACCUCCUAUAUAUAGUAGAGGAUUUGAGGGCAGCCCUAACCCUAACAAGCCACGUGGUGCCCUCUUUCUCUCUAGAUCGUUUUCUCCUCUAGAUUAGUUCCGCAGCGCUUGGCGAAACCCUGAUGGAUUGCCCACCACCACAACCAUGCCACCGUGCUGGAGAACUCAUCUACCUCUCCGCCUCUCUUGCUGGAUCAAGAAGGCAGAGAUCUUCACUGAGCUGUACGUGUGUUGAACACGGUGGUGCCCUUCAUUCGGCACUAGAUCGGAAGGACCAUGAUGAGAUCACGGGACGGAUCGUGAUGAGAUCGUGGGAUGGAUCGUGAUUGGAUUGCGAAGACGUACGACUACAUCAACCACUUUAUAUACACUUCCACUUAGCGAUCUAUAAGGGUAUGUAGAUGCACUCUUCCGUCUCGUAGAUGGUCAUCACCAUGGAUAGAUCUUGUGUGCGCGUAGGAAUUUUUUUGUUUCCCAUGCGACGUUCCCCAACAAUUGUGUCUCGGCAUAAAAAAUAGAAACAUCAUUAUGAUUCUCAGCAGGUUUCUCAAUAUCAGGUUCACCAAUAGCAUGCAAAGUCCUAUCAUUUUUUAUUUUUCUUCUUAGAAGGACUAGGUACAUGAUGUAUACUACACAACUUUAUUCCUGUAGACUAUGUUGGGCCUCCAAGCACAAUGUUUUGUAGGACAGUAGCAAUUUUCCCUCAAGUGGAUGACCUAAGGUUUAUCAAUCCAUGGGAGGUGUAGGAUGAAGAUGGCCUCUCUUAAACAACCCUGCAAUCAAAUACAAAAAAUCUCUUGUGUCCCCAACACACCCAAUACAAUGGCAAAUUGUAUAGGUGCACUAGUUCGACGAAGAGAUGGUUGAAAGGAUCGAUAUGGUUGGCUAGAGGGGGGGGGGGUGAAUAGACAACGACCACUUUUUAAUUAAUCUUAACAAGUUAAGGUAAACACUAUACGGGUUCACAAAUAAUAUGACAAAGAGGUGACCCCUAUAGAAGCUAUCAACAAGACCUAUUAAGACAAGUAAGAUAUUGUCACAAGGAAAAGCAAAUACAAAGUAAAGGUUAGAGAUAACCACAAGUGGAACUGAUGGAGACGAGGAUGUGUUACCGAAGUUCCUUCCCUUUGACAGGAAGUACGUCUCCGUUGGAGCGGUGUGGAGGCACAAUGCUCCCCAAAAAGCCACUAAGGCCACCGUAUUCUCCUCACGCCCUCGCACGAUGCAAGGUAUCGUGAUUCCACUAUAGGUGCCCUUGAAGGCGGCGACCGAACCUUUACAAACAAGGUUGGGGCAACUCCACACAAAGCUUGGAGGCUCCCAACAAGACCACGAAGCUUCACCACGAUGGAAUAUGGCUUCGAGGUGACCUCAACCGUCUAGGAUGCUCAAACACCCAAGAGUAACAAGAUCCGCAAGGGAUAGGUGGGGGAAUCAACUUUUCUCUUGGUGGAAGUGUGGAUCUAGGCCUUCUCAACCAAUCCCUAAAGAAUCAACAAGUUUGAUUGGCUAGGGAGAGAGAUCAGGCACUUUUAAGCUUGUGGAGCAACAAUGGAGCUUAGAGAGGUGAGAGAUAGGGUUCCUCAGCUAGAAGAACCCUUUAUAUAGUGGGGGGAAAAUUCAGACCGUUUUCCCACUCUCUGCCCGAGAUCCAGCGGUACUACCGCUGGGAAGGAGCGGUACUACCGCUGCUUGGCGGUACUACCGCUGUAUGCAGCGGUACUACCGCUGGGGCUUCCAGCGGUACUACCGCUGGUCCUUGGUAGUGCAUAAGUACUACUACCGCCGAGAAAGUCUUCGCAAAAGGGUCCGUCCACGAACUACCGCUAGGUAGGUGGAACAGGGCACCUGGAGCGGUACUACCGCCAGCCAGGGCGGUACUACCGUCAGCCUGGCGGUACUACCGCUGACCAGGGGCGGUACUACCGCUGGCAGUCCAGCGGUACUACCGCUGGGACCAGCGGUACUACCGCUGGGACCAUUUUGCCGAGACGCAAAGAACAAAACGGCGAGGGCCGCUCCAUGGAUAAAGGAAAGGGAGAAAAUAGAGGUGUGCGUGUGCAAAGAUAGAUUCCACCCAAACCUUUCCACUACGGAUCCCCUCUUAAUUGUACGGCUUUCCUAUGACUCAAAUGAAGAGAAUCUAGGAUAGCGCCAUGCUUCCGUUCCCGAAGAGAGGAGUCGUGUCGUCUUGUGCCGUUGACGAAUGUUGCCUGAAACCUUGACACACACGAUUAGUCCUGUACGGUACUGUCAUCAAUCACCAAAAUUACUUAGGCAUAAAUUAUGCCUCAACAAUGGUGAUACAAGUGUAGUAUGGAGAGUAGAUAUAGGUUUUUGUAAUCUAAAAAUAUAAAACAGCAUGGUAGCAAGUGUAAAACAACGAGCAACACGUUGUAUAAAUGCUUGGAAAUAAGGCCUAGGGUUAAUACUUCCACUAGUGCAAUCUCUUAUCGAUGCUAACAUAAUAGAAUCAUAUGAUCAUCCCUCAAUGUGCAACAAAGAAUCACUCCAAGUUACUAUUAGCGGAGAACAAUAAUAUGAAAUUGGUGUAGGUAGUAGAACCACCUCAAAAUUAUUCUUUUUGAUCAACCUUUUGAGCUAUUCCUAUAAGUGUCACAAACAGCCCCAGAGUUCGUACUAGAAUAACACCCAUGAUACAUAUCAAUCAACCCUAGUGUCACCUAGAUACUCCAAUGUCACCUCAAGUAUCUGUAGGUGAAUUAUGCGAUAUGUAUCAAACAAAUUCAGAUCUAUCAUAUUCAAUCCAACACAAAGAACUUCAAGGAGCACCCCAAGAUUUCUAUGGGAGAACAUAGUAUGAAAACGUGCAAUCAACCCCAAUGCAUAAAUCCCCAAGGUCAUCGGAUCCGCAAGUUGAUGCCAUAACAUAUGUCAAGUAAAUCACUUGAAUACCCUAAUGUCACUACGGGUAUCCGCAUGCAAGACAUACAUCAAGUGUCCUCAAACCAAAUAUUCAAUCCAACAUAACGAGAUCUUAAAGGCAAAUAUUCAAUUCAUCACAACAAGGUAGCAAGUGAAUAACAUCAUAUGAUCCAACUAGAUUAACAAGGCCCGUGAUACAUCAAGAUUGUGCCAUAUUAAGAACAUGAGAGAGAGAGAGAGAUUGAACACAUAGCUACUGGUACAUACCCUCAGCCCUGAGGGAGAACUACUCCCUCCUUGCCAUGGCCUCCGCCGGGAUGAUGAAGAUGGCCACCAAAGAUGAUUUCCCCCUCUGACAGGGUACUGGAAAGGCUCCAGAUGGAUUUUUCGUCUAUACACAUAGUUGCGGCAGCGGAGCGGAAGUUCUCUCUUUAUUUCUAGGGUCUCUGGUAUAUAAAGGAUGUUCAACGUUUGAAUCACGCCAAAUGGAGCCACAUGGGCCCUACAAGCCAUCAAGGCGUGACCUAGGGGGUGCGCCAUGUUGGCUUGUGGCCCACAGGUGGCUCCCCUUCGGUGGUUCUUCGCUCCAAUAUUUCUUAUUUCCUCCCGAAAAAAAUACAAAAAGUUUCGGGCGAUUCCGAGAACUUUCAUUUUUUGCACAAAAAGUUUCGGAGAGUGUCUCAGGUCAUGUCUGCAUAGUUCUCGAACCCGCAGGGUCUGCACACUUAAAGUUCGAUGACGUUUCACUAUUAUUAAGUUAUGUAUUGUAAUGCCCCAGAGUGUUACUUGCCUGAUUUGGAACCUUCAUGUAUGUGGGUCCAUCAUGUCAUUGAUAUGAGAGUUAUAUUUCAUGUGGUAUUUUAUGUGCAUUUCUUGUUUCCCUUGCAUGCAUGCAUCCAUAUCAUUCCAUGCCUCUUGUGUUUGUUGUUAUUGUGAAUCCAUGUAUGUGGUGUGACAUGUGAUGAUGAUAUGUGAUGUGAUGAAGUGGUGUAUUUGAAAGUGGGGUGCAACUUUGCUAGUUUUCAAAUAGGUUUCAAAACCCCCCUCUCUAUUUCUCAAAGCUCAAGUUUUACUUGCCCUAUCCCUGAUUAAAAAAUGUUUAUAUUUUAGAGUGUAUUGUGGUGGAUGUGAUGCUAGGAUUAAAGUGUUUUGAAUCUAUGUUUGAGAGGGGUAAAUAUUCAGAAAACAGUUUAAUUAAUUCUGUUUUGUAACUAUUUAAAUGCUCCAAAAAUUCCUUUUUCAUUUUAUGUAAAUAGGUCUUAAUUCCCUUAUGUCCAGGGGCAUUUUUGUUUUAUUUUAGCAUCAACACUGUGGCCUGUGUAUUUAUUUUGUCUCUGUUUUGUUUUAAAUAAAAAAACCCAGUGGGUUUUUCUUUUUCUUAUGUGGGCAUCCGAGUGGGCUUCCUCCCCCUGGCUGGACCAACUAAUCCCUCGCGCAACAGCCUGCUCCUAUAGACGGCGUCUCCCCCCUCCCUCCUACCGUCAGUUUCGUCAGAGAGAGAGCAAGGCAGAGAGGUCGACGCCGUUGCUCACGGACGUCGAGGCGACCUCCCUCGCCCUUUAUUUAACCCCUUGGUGUGCGUGCCCUGGCUAGGGUUCCCUCCCAGCGCCGCCACCUCCUUUCCCUUCUUCCUCCUCUCUCUCGCUCGUCGACAACAGGUAAGCGAGCCCCUCCUCCACCAUGGCCGAACCUUGAGGAGCUCAUUGCCAUCGUUGUCGUGCCCCUGCUUCCUCUCCAAGCCUUCGGCGAGCACGCGGGACCUCAAGGGAGCCCGUUCCCGCAGCCAAUCGACGCCGAACGCCACUGCUUCCCCUACUUCCUCGACGUCGUCUUCCUCCUCUGCUCCGACAAGAUCUGCUGCGGCUUCUUCCUCCUUGUCGACAUCUUCUUCCUCCACGUCAAUCCUGUCCUCCUCGAUGCUCCCUAGGUGAGCUAGCCGCAGUCCCAUCCCGAUCCUGACGUGUAGGUUCCUGCCUAGGCCGUAGCUGUGCCGCCACGCUUCCCUCUGUCACCGGCGCCGUCGUGCACGUUGUUGCAGUAGCUGUAGGCCACCACUCGUCGCGUUUAGGCCUGAAAUGAGACUGUGAGUGUUCCCUCUUCCUCCUAGCGAUGAGCCCGUGCUCAAUUUGUAGUAGAUCGCCGGCGGUGUGCCUCCCCUGUUCCGGCCACCGUCGGGUUGUGAUAGAUCCAGAGGGGGUUGCUCAAAAGAGCAGAGUCCCCCUCUUUGUUAACCUCCGAUAGCGCAACACAGCGGCAACAGUGUGUUUUACCUCGCGCAGGUCGUGGGUUCGAGUACCCGCAGCGCCCCUUUUUGGUGUUUUUUUUCGACACAGUAGCAACAGGAGGGGAAGCAUAUCCUGUAUACUCCCUCUGUUCUGUCGAGCAAGAGUGUUGUAGCGCAGUGCUAGUGGUGUUGUGUGUGGUGCAGCAGGUCAUGGGUUCGAAACCCCUCUGACCCCCUUUUAUUUUUUUUAUUUCUUUUUGUGUUGCUAUGUUGCUGUUUCAACUAGGUGCUUCAUAUCUUUGCUUGAGCAGCAAGUGGAGGUGUUCCUACAUCAUAACCAGUAGGUUUUUCACCUAUGUUUUAGUUAGUGUGCUUGUGUAGUUAGUGAUGCUUAUGUAUGUGAUUGUGCUAGUGUAUGUGUGUAGGAUAUAUAUGUGUGAGCAAGCAUCUAUGUGCAUGUGUGCUUGUGUGGUACAAGCACCCAAGAGCAUGUGUAGGUGCAUGUGGUGCAUGUGUGUGUGCUUGUGCAUGUGUGCACUAGUGCAUGUGCAUGGGGUGUGUGCUUGGGAGUGUGCAAGCAUCCAUGUGUUGUGUGAGUGUGUAUGGGUCCUUGUGGUGCAUGUGUGUGUGUGACACCCACAUGCCCAAGGCAUGGAUUUACCUUAGGAGCACUUGUGUGCAAGCUUGUAUGUGUGUGUGUAGUGAUAGUGGUGUGAGUGCAAGUAUGUGUGUGUGUGGAGACUAGCAUGUGUAGGUGCCAGGUGUGUAUGCUUGGUGUAUGGUGAUGUGCUAUGGCACACAUACAUGAGGUCUAAACCCUCAUGUCACCAUUGGAGUUGUGAGUGUGUGCAAGUGCAUGCGUAGGUGAUGAUGUAGUGAGAAACACAUGUGAUAUGGCACUAUUUGCAUUUAUGUGAUUCCAUGUAGUUUUUCAUCUUAGCUUUGUGCCUAUUUGUUCUAUGCAAGUACCUAGGUAUUAUAUAUGUUUUUGGGGUAGAAUCAUCCCAGGAAUCCAUUGGUGGAAUCAGAUUUCCCUUUGGAACACUUUCUGGAAAUGUCAUUUUUUUGUUUUGAACUAUGUUUAGAGCUUGGUGCCAUGUGGUGUGAUGAGCCUAAGAGGAUGAUUCCUUGAUGUGGCAGUAGUGGGUGAACCCCUCUACAGCAUGGUGGUUUUGCUUUAUGCUUAGGAGUUUGUAUGUGCAAGUUGUGCUUUGUCAAAGUAGGCUUGUGGCUGAAAUUGUCAAAACUGCUGUUAUUUUCUUCCCUUGUAGUUGUGGUUGCAAAAGUUCAUGUGUUGGGAAUUAGCCCUUGCAAUCAACUAGAGAGUUUUAGCUUUUGUGUUUGUCUAGCUCUCUGUCAAUUUUCAUUCUCUUUCACUUCCUGUAGAUAUUGUUUUGGGGGCUUUCAAAAUGCUUCAAAGCAUAAACAGCUGGUGAGAAUCUGAGAUUUUCACUAAGUCCCCAAAAUCUGUUAUUUUUGUCCAAGUUAGCAGUUGUAGAUCUUUCCGUGAGUAACUCAUUUGUAUUAUCUUUUUUCUCAUGCUUGUAGAGCUUUUGAAUAGCUUUUGCCACAUAUCUUGUUUGGCACAUUUGGGUGGUUGUAGGUGCUUUGCAUGUUGCUCUCAAACUGCUAUGUUGCUGUUUAGGACAGAUUGUAUAGUUUUGUUCUUUUGAUGCUUGUGAGUGCAUAGUUGAUGGUGUGGUGAGUUUCUUUUAUCCACCCCACCUAUACUUGUUUGUUUGGUCAUGUGGCAACCUGGGAGUACCAGAAGUAUGCCAUUGGAGAGUGCUUGUGGUAGAAUUGACCCGUAGAGACUCCAUAUGUUAUUUCGUAGUUUCCGGUUGAUCCGUAGCUCCGUUCUCAACGUUCUUUAUAUGUUUUUGCAUCAUUUUCGCGUGAUGCAUCUGUUCAUUUCAUAUUCAUGCAUGUCAAGAUAGCUUAGGGAGAAGUUAUGUCCAGAACUUUGUCUUUUCUUCUCAUGCAUAUGCAAGUGACUAGAAUAGAGAUGCAUGUUACAUUCUCAUCUCAUGCAUCAUGUGGUGUUGUUGUUCAUUGGAUGGUAUUUUUAUGUUGGGUAGCACCGGGAUCGGAGAGCGAGUACGUGGAUUCGGGAAAGUACGUGCAUGACAAACAAGAGCAGUUCCAAGCUGAAGACAUCACAGGCAAGAUGACCAUGACCUUGAUACCGUCUCUAGCUUUGUUAUGCCUAGAUUCACGUUUCCUUCGUCAUAUGCUCGCUGCCUACCACUGAAAUAAUUGCCUCCUGAUAUUGCCAUGAAACCCAAACACUUUCCCCUCCUAGCUAAUAUUGAAUGGCUAAGUAGGCUUGCUCAGCUUCUAAUGUUAGCGUUGCUAGUUGCAGGUGCAAUUGUCUCAUGUGAUAACAUGAGUUUGAUAUCAUUAUCUUUAAUUCUGUUAUUUAAUUAAUGCACCUAUAUACUUGGUAAAUAACGGAAGGCCUAGCCUCUUGCCGGGUGUUUUGUUCCGUUAUUGCCGCCUUAGUUUCCGGCUACCGGUGUUUGAUUCCAUAACUGAUCGCUCCUAACACGUUCGGGGUUGUUAUGGGGACCCCCUUGAUAAAUCAUGUAGUGUUAAGACUUGUCCCACAGGACCCAACAUUGGUUUUUAAUUUGCUAAUCACUUAAUAAUAAUAAUGCAUAGGGAAUAGCUACCCCGUGGAAUUAAUCAACAACCCGGGCCAGUGCUCCUCAUGAGUGUUGGUCCACCCACCUAGCAGUCGGCAAUACCACCUCAGGGAAACUUGAGGCAUUGGUCAUUGUCCACUAUGCAUAGACGGUGUUGUCCUGAGAUUGAGAUACGCGGCUCUUAUCUGGGUCGUCGACACACCGGGAGGUCCUGCUAGCCUUGUCUUACCUUAGCGAUAUAUCUUGCGUAUAGGAAUCCCCGUGAAGCUUUGGUUCUUCCCAGAGUUGAGGUUUUCCUCUAAGGAAUCCGACGAGAUCACGAGAUUCGUGAUAGAGGAUUACUUUGCGGCCCGUGACCGUUUGUGAUGGACUAGUUGGAGCACCCCUGCAGGGUUUAAUCUUUCGUAAAGCCAUGCUCGCGGUUAUGUGGCAACUUGGAAUAUUUGUUAACAUCCGGUUAUAGAUAACUUGAACUUAAUCUAAUAAAACUGCCAACUGUGUGCGUAAUCAUGACUGUCCCCUUGGAAGACCUCUCUUCGAUCGGGAACACGGCGUGGUUAUGUUUGACGUAAGUAGGUGUUCAGGAUCACUUAGUGAUCAACUAGUCUUCGACUGCUCGCGUAGACCACCACAUCUAUAACUUGUUCUACGUAAGUUAGUCACCAUAAAUGCUUAGGAUGCUGCAACCUAAACACUGAAUCUUCCUUACCUAAUAACUUGACUAGUUUCGGUACCGAGGUCAUAGAUUGCUGAGUCCCUGUGGCUCACAGAUUACUUCAACACCCUAACAGGUACAGGUAUGCACGACACAGGUGAUCCCGAUGGCACGCAGCUAGCAUGGCAGUAUGAUGAGGAGAACGACCACCUGUACAUGAACUAUCCAGAAGACUGGGGCGUGGUCGUGAUCGUGGGCAAGCAUGCGGGAUAGCAUAGCCUUUUCUCAUGUUAUGUAGUCCGUAGCGGAACUACCUUGUCUGAAUAAAUGUGGGAUGUAAACUCUGAUAUUAUCUAUGAUAUGGCAAACGAUUCCCUAUUUGUCAUUCUUUUAUUAUGUAUGUGCUAUGUUUAUCUUGCUUGCGAAACACUUAUAUGCACUUCUUUCCAUUUUGGGGCCUCGUUCCCUAAGUCGGAAAGGACCGCAUCUUAGUCGUUACAAGUUGGUAAUGAGAGCCUUACGACCAUAUGAGCAUUUGUGUGAUCGUAGUUGGCCGAGUCGAGUCUAGUAAAAUGUUUUGAGUCUUAGUUAUAUCGGAGAGUAGGUUUCUUUUUUCUCCUCUUCCAUGCUCUGGUGAGGUUCUCGACUUAGGAAAUCUUAAUUCUACUCCUCUUCUCGCUCAAAAAAUAUUUUAGGAUCACGUGGGUAUUUUGAAAUCUAUAUGAUAUCGAUGUGACGGAGUUUUGUCUUGGUGCCUCCUGUCUGCCUUGAUUUCUUCUGGGGAGUUGAGCUCGAGGGGAUUCUUGUGCACAUCGCCAUCAUUCAGAUUUCUGAGUAUCUCAGAACAAAGGAUGUUCGUAAUUGCUUCAAUACUAGUAGUGGCGAGAUAACCCCGAUGUCCCCAGUACUGGUGCAGAUUGUUCGGGAGUACUGCCAUACUUUGUAUCGUUGUGAUCACAAGGGUCUGUGUUAGAUGAAGGUCCGAGAUUCUGGUUAUGUGUUGACGGAUGUGAUACAGUGGACGGGUUAGUAGAGGAGUUGUGUGAAUAUUACUCCUUGUAUCUGUGUACCAGAUUGCAUGACCAGAUAUUUCGGGAUUUCAUAGGUGGGAUAUAAAGUAGUGACUUAUAGGACAAUCUUCCUACAGAUGCAUGAUGUGAGGUUGGGAUACGACAUCCAGUGGGUACGUUUGUUCACGUCGUCUUACAGCGGUUCUCGUUGUGUCUUAAAGAGUCCUUGUAGCUUGCUAUGACUCGGGGAUACUUCGUAAGUCAUGUACACUACCUUGCACAUGAUGGCUACUGUAAAUUCGAGCCCGUGCGAUCUUAUCCACGAAGAUAUCGGAUGAAAUCUCGAUCAUAUGUUUGUUCCAAGCAGUUCUAGCUCAUACUUGUUUGCAAGUGGUCUUAAUCAGAAUUUUGUCGACAGUCACUUUGAGGAAGCAUUCUUACUAUUUUGUUUGAGUGCAAAUGCUAUAUUCCUGUUCAGAUAUUCCUGCCUUUUUGAUUCAGCUUUACCUUCAAUUUAUUCUGUGGGCUAAUGUGUUGUCCGUCUUCAGGAUGGCUCCACCAACUCGUCAGAAUCCAGGUCAUGAGGGUGCUGACAUGCCGCCGCCACCUCCUCCUCCAGAGAAUCCUCCUCUGCCGCCGCCUCCUCCUGCAGAGGCUUAGCAAGCGGUGAUGACUGCUACAAAUGCAAACUCUCAGAUGCUGAUAUAGUUGUUGCAAGAGAGGACUAAUCAGCAGCAAUGCAACUUCCAUCAUGGGGGCAAUCAAUUUGCUAAUCUGAGUCAGUUCCUGUCAAAUCAGCCGAAGACCUUCACGUCGUGUGACCAGCCGUUUGAUGCUGAGGAUUGGAUCCGCGACAUGAACAAGAACUUUGAAUGCAUCAAUGUUCGUCCAGAGGAUUUCGUCAAGUUUGCAACAUUCCAGCUGAAGGGGCAAGCAUCUAUCUGGUGGCAAAAGUUGAAGGAUUCCAGUGGUGCCAGAGUGAUCUCUUGGGAUGAGUUCUGCAGAGACUUCAGAUCCCACUUCAUCCCGUCCAACUUUGUGUAGGAGAUGCGUGAGAAUUUCAGGCGCUUGAAGCAAGGUGGUAACUCCGUGUACAAGUACAACGUCGAGUUCCACGAGCUAGCCCGAUAUGCCUUGCAGGACAUUCCUGAUCAGAAGAGCAAGAUUUAUCAGUUCAGAGGUGGUUUAAAAGAGGAUUUGCAGCUAGCUCUCACUUUGCACGAUCCUGAGGAGUUCAAUAAGUUCUACAAUUUAGCUCUCAGGACUGAGGUAGCUUUGCUCAGGGUGGGGAAUUCAAAGAAGUGCUUCAGAGAUUCCAGCUCGUCUUCCUCAACUCAGGUGGUUCAGAAGCAACAUAAGUAUUAGGUGUCUCCUCCUCCUCCUCAGCACACGCAGCAGUUCAAGCAUUCAGGUGGCCGUGGUUCUUCCCACCCACCCAACCCAGCUUUCUAGCAGAGGUUUCAGCAGCAGAAGCAAGGGCCUCCUUAGACACAGUACCGUCAGUCGACAGAUGUUACUUGUCACAAGUGUGGGCAGAAGGGUCACUAUGCCAACAAGUGCACUUCUCAGCUCCGUCUUCCGCCUCCUCCUCCAGGCAAACCUCCAAGCAAUGCUAUCGUGAAGUUCAACCCCAAGUCUGCUAGAGUCAAUAUGGUGAAUGCAGCUCAAGCACAGAACUCGUCAGAUGUGAUUAUGGGUAACCUCCUCGUUAAUGAUAUUCCUGCUAAGGUUUUAUUUGAUUCUGGUGCAUCGCAUUUGUUUAUCUCAAGGCCAUUCUCAUUCAAGCAUGGGUUCUCAACUCAUGAUUUGCCUAAGCCUCUAUCAAUUGUGUCUCCCGGCAAGAUCAUGAAUUCCCACAUGGUGGUUCCGAAUGUUUCUGUUAAGAUGGGUAGUUAUUCUUUUCCGGCGUCUCCUAUUGUCUUGGGCAAUUCCGACAUUGAUUUGAUCCUUGGUAUGGAUUGGUUGGCCAUGAACAAGGCAUCGAUUGAUUGUGAAGCUAAAGAAGUGAAGCUUACUCACUCUUCGGAGGACGUCUUUAUCUUCGCGGCGCGCGAUGACACAAUCCCUCUGUUCUCUUUGAAUGAAAAGGGUGAGAUUAAUCCAAUUUUGCAAGUCCCACUGGUCUGCGAAUAUGAAGAUGUGUUUCCAAAAGAACUGCCAGGAAUGCCUCCUGCUUGCUAGCAGUCCACGACAAAGACACUAGGAGAAUGUUGUUGAUGUGUGCCUGACUUGAUGCCUCCGCGGCAACAGAGCCAGAACUGCUCCCAGUUGCUCAACAAUUAGCAAUUGUCUUGCAAUGGCCCACCAGCGUGUGGGUUUGCGACAAUUUUCGAGGGUAGAGUAUUCAACCCAAAUUUGUUGGUUCACCAGACGGGAAGUGAAAGGAUACUCUCAAGUAUUAGCAGCUGAAUGUGUCGGAUUCAACCACACCUGAAAGAUUUGUAUCUGCAAGCAAAGUAUCAGUAGCAAAGUAGUAUGAUAACAACGGUGCCAGAAAUGAUAUGUUGACGGCAGACUAUUCCUAACUGUUGUAUCAAUGGCGCCAGAAGUUGACCGUGGACGGAAAAUAUUCUUUCCCGUCAACGACACGAGAAAAAGUAUUGUAGCAGGUAGCAGCAGUGUAACGAGUAACAACAGUGGCAAGGAACAACAGUAGUGACAGCAGUAAAAAGUAGCAACAGUAGCAAGUAACAGUACCAGCAGCAGUAGUAACAGCAGCAGAGCAAAACAAGUAACCACAGUAGUGGGAGAAACAUGAACUCCUCAAACUAUGGUCAUCACCGGGAGUGGUUCCAGUUAUUGUCACUCCGGGGUUGCCGGGUCAUAACACAUAGUUGGUAACUACAACUUGCAAGAUCGGAUCUAAAACACACAUAUAUUGGUGACAACAUAAUAAUUUCAGAUCUGAAAUCAUGGCACUCGGGCCCUAGUGACAAGUAUUAAGCAUGGCAAAGUAGUAGCAACAUCAAUCUCACAACAUAGUGGAUACUAGGGAUCAAUCCCCGUCAAAAUUAACUCGAUUACAUGAUAGAUCUCAUCCUACUCAUCACCGCCCAGCGAUCCUACGAAUAGAUUACUCACGAACGAUGAAGAGCUUCAUGGAAUUGGAGGGGGAAGAAGGUUGAUGAUGACGAUGGCGACGAUUUCCCCUCUCCGGAGCUCAAAACAGACUCCACAUCUGACCUCCAGAUGAAGAACAGGAUGUGGCGGCGCCUCCGUAUCGCAAACGCGAUGAAAUCUUCUCUCUUGAUUUUUUUCUGAGCGAAAGUGAAUUUAUAGAGCUGGAGUUGGGGGCAGCAGACCCAUGUGGGCCCCACAAGCUUGGUUGCCGUGGCUAGGGGGGCCGCGGCAACACGGCUUGUGGCCCACUGGCACAUCCCCUCCGGUGGAUCUUUGUGCAGGUAUUUUUCAUAUUUUCCAGAAAUAUUCUCUGUAAAUUUUCAAGACGUUCCGAGAACUUUCAUUUCUGCACAAAAACAACACCAUGACAAUUCUGCUGAAAACAACGUCAGUCCGGGUUAGUUCCAUUCAAAUCAUGCAAAUUAGAGUCCAAAACAAGGGCAAAAGAGUUCGGAAAAGUAGAUACGAUGGAGACGUAUCAACUCCCCCAAGCUUAAAACAUUGCUUGUCCUCAAGCAACUCAGUUGACAAACUGAAAGAGAAAGAAAAACUUUGACAAACUCUGUUUGAUCUUGUUGUUGCAACUAUGUCUAACUCGUAACCAGAAUUUCAGCAAUAUCACAAGUUAACCACAUAAGCAAGUGACACAAAGGUCUCACGGUAAACUAAUGUCAAUGGUAUAAUCAGCUAGCGAGCAAAUAAUAAUAAGUUUCAGAUACCAACAAUUCAAUCAAAACAAGAAGGAAGCAAUAUGAAUAGGUGGUAUCUCGCUAGCUCUUUCUGAGACCGCAAAACAUAAAUGUAGAGCACUUUCAAAGAUCAAGGGCUGACUAAACAUUGUAAUUCAUAGCAACGAAGAUCCAGUCAUAGUCAUACGCAAUAUCAAUCAAAAGCAAAGCAUAAAAAUGACAGAGGUGCUCUCUAAUUGGUGCUUAUAUAUGAAGAGGAUGACUCAAUAGGAAAAUAAAUAGGCAAGCCCUUUGCAGAGGGAAGCAUUGAUUUGCAGAGGUGCCAGAGCUCAAGCUUUGAAAACAGAUAUAAUAAUUUUGGGUGGCAUGCUUUCAUUGUCAACGCAAUGACCAAGACUUCUCAAUAUCUUCCAUGCUACUCAUGCUAUAGGCGGUUCCCAAACAGAAAAGUAAAGUUUUAACUCCCCCACCACCAAUCAAUCACACUCCACGGCUAGUCGAAUCCUCGGGUACCAUCCAUACUAACAUCAAUCCGGGGGGAGCCUUGUUUUACAGUUAUGUUUUUGAUUUAAGCGUGGAACUGGUCAUUCCAAUUACCGGCCCCUUUCUAGUGAAUGACAGUGAAUAAACACAUGUCGAGGAUAACACGCCUAACAUGGAAGAUACCAAUAGCCCCCUGUCACCACAUGAGCGGUUCGGGCAUGCAAAACAGAUUAUUUCUUGAAGGUUUAGAGAAUGGCACAUGCAAAUUUACUUGGAACGGCAGGUAAAUACCGCAAAUAGGUAGGUAUGGUGGACUCUCAUCGAAAAACUUUUGGGUUUAUGGAAGUGGAUGCACAAGCAGUAUUCCGCUUAGUACAAGUGAAGGCUAGCAAAAGACUGGGAAGCGACCAACUAGAGAGCGACAACGGCCAUCAAGAUGCAAUUAGUUUGACUAAUAUGGAGUGCAAGCAUGAACAUGAUAUAAAUCACCAUGAACACGAACAUCAUAGAGGCUAUGUUGAUUUUUUUCAACUACAUGCAUGAACAUGCGCCAAGUCAAGCCACUUGAAUCAUUCAAAGAAGAAUACCAUCCUAUCAUACUACAUCAUAGUCAUCUCAAAAUCUAUGUCGGCAUCCAAGACAAACCAUUAUAAGCUCCUAGCUAAAUAAGCAUGGCAUCAGAAACUAUGAUCUCUAAGUUGUCAUUGCAAACAUGGUUCUCUCACAACAAAGCUGAAUCUGGGACGACAAGCUAGUCAUAUUUACAAAAACAAAAUAGAUAGAGUUCAUACCAGCUUUUCCAGGCUCAGUCACUUCAUCAUAUAUCGUCAUUAUUUCCUUUCACUUGCACGACGGAAUGAUGUGAACAAUAAUAAGCGUGCUCGUGCAAUGGACUAAGCUGAAUCUGCAGGCAAACACAAAGGAGAAGACAAAGUAAUAUGGCUCUUUGAAAGCUAAACAGGUAUGCAUGCAAGAGCCACUAAACAUUGUAACCAAUAUCUUCUACCUUGACCCAAAGAAAAAGAAAACUAUUUACACGGGAAAACUCCCAACAAGCAAAAGAAGAAAGGAAAAUAUUUUUGGGUUUUCUCAAAAGGACACAAAACAAGAAAAGAAGAAAAAGAAAAUAAACUAGCAUGGAUAAUACAGUGGCAAAGUGUAAACACCGGCUAACAAGGUGAAAGCAUAAGCAUGAAUGUAAGGUCGGUGAGAACACGUACUCCCCCAAGCUUAGGCUUUUGGCCUAGCUUGGUCUACUACCAAGGACGGUCCUGGCAAAAUCCAAAAUCAUAAUCGGGGUUUUACGGGAGCGCUGCAGCCACUGCCUGAAUAGCUGCCUCAUAAAGACGCGCAGCCGUCGCCUCCCUCUCAUACUCCUUCGCCUCUCCUAUGGUUAUGUAGUAUCUCCGUUUUACCUGAAAGUCAAAGAAAGCAGGAGCAGCAAGGGUAAUAUGGAAGACACGCUGCCGGUUAAAAUCAAUCGGUAUAGGAGGGAUUCAUCAUCCUUCUCAAGGAACUGGUAAUGUGUCAUAGCGACGCGGUCAAGGAAAGCUGUAUGGAGCGGGGGAUCUUCUGCGCGGAUGGGUACUCCAAGAAAAUUUUCCAUGCGGGUGGCAUAGAUGCCGCCAAAGAAAUCCCCCUCAAUAGCAUUCUUAUUCAACCUCCUUGCUAUAAUAGCUCCAAUGUUGAAGCUUUUGUCACCCGUAACUGCGCUCUUAAGGAUACUAAGGUCGGAUGCGCAUAGGUGCCAAUGUUCAACUUUACCGUUAAUGCAUCUACCUAUGAAGAGGGCAAAGUACUGCAAGGCAGGGAAAUGAAUGCUUCCUAUGGUAGCUUGCGUGAUGUCUCUAGUUUCUCCAACAGAUAUACUAGAGAAAAAGUCUCUAACCGAAGAUUUAGCAGGAUCUUUAAGAUUACCCCCAUCGGGUAUUUUGCAAAUUCUGUUAAAAUCCUCCAAAUCCAUGGCGUAGGAUUUAUCAUACAGAUCAAACAGUAUGGAUGAGUCACGGCCAACUGAAAAUUUAAAUCUACGCACAAAAGAUGAAGUGAGCAUAGCAUACUGUUCACAUUUAUCUGAGAGGAAUUCUUCUAACCCGGCAUUGCGGACAAGUGUAUCAAACUCAUCCUUGAAGCCUGCAUCGAUCAUGAACUCAUUGGAAGGCCACUCACAUGGUUGUACCGGUGCGUCCCUUAGUUGAUAAGGAUCGGGCUCCAGAAUAGAAAGAUGGGGACCCUUCUUACUUGAGGAACCACCAUGAAACUUCCUCCUGAACAUAAUUUCUUUUCCUGAAAUUUUUGAAGUUCAAGAGAAAAGUGAAUAAAGACCAACCACACCUU
rnacentral:lncRNA from 1 species